CUCAAGCGAGUGGCGAACGGGUGAGUAACGCGUGAGGAACCUGCCUCAAAGAGGGGGACAACAGUUGGAAACGACUGCUAAUACCGCAUAAGCCCACGACCCGGCAUCGGGUAGAGGGAAAAGGAGCAAUCCGCUUUGAGAUGGCCUCGCGUCCGAUUAGCUAGUUGGUGAGGUAAUGGCCCACCAAGGCGACGAUCGGUAGCCGGACUGAGAGGUUGAACGGCCACAUUGGGACUGAGACACGGCCCAGACUCCUACGGGAGGCAGCAGUGGGGAAUAUUGCACAAUGGGGGAAACCCUGAUGCAGCGACGCCGCGUGGAGGAAGAAGGUCUUCGGAUUGUAAACUCCUGUUGUUGAGGAAGAUAAUGACGGUACUCAACAAGGAAGUGACGGCUAACUACGUGCCAGCAGCCGCGGUAAAACGUAGGUCACAAGCGUUGUCCGGAAUUACUGGGUGUAAAGGGAGCGCAGGCGGGAAGACAAGUUGGAAGUGAAAUCCAUGGGCUCAACCCAUGAACUGCUUUCAAAACUGUUUUUCUUGAGUAGUGCAGAGGUAGGCGGAAUUCCCGGUGUAGCGGUGGAAUGCGUAGAUAUCGGGAGGAACACCAGUGGCGAAGGCGGCCUA
rnacentral:rRNA from 1 species